rnacentral:rRNA from 1 species
UACGAAGGGGGCUAGCGUUGUUCGGAAUUACUGGGCGUAAAGGGCGCGUAGGCGGUUUGAAUCGUCGGAUGUGAAAGGCCUGGGCUCAACCUGGGAACGGCAUCCGAUACGGUCAGACUUGAGUGUGGGAGAGGUUGGUGGAAUUCCCAGUGUAGAGGUGAAAUUCGUAGAUAUUAGGAAGAACACCGGUGGCGAAGGCGGCCCACUGGCUCGAUACUGACGCUGAGGUGCGAAAGCGUGGGGAGCAAACAGG